GACCUCUCUCUUCCGUCUCGCUCAUACCUCCAAAAUCCUCUUCCCUUCCUCUUUCCAACCUCAAGUUACUUUCUCCAAAUUCGUAGCCGAAUUUUCUCAAUUUCAGAUCUAAGAAACGGUGACCGUGGGUAUUCCGGGCAAUUUCCGACGAAGUCUGCUAGAAUUGGACCUCAACCAAGAGGUAAAAAUGAUCAUCUCCUCGUGGCUGUUCCCUAGUAUUGGGGACGAGGAAGGUGAAUCAAGGUUGUUUCCAACCUGGGCCGAGAAGAAUGGAAGCCUUGGAAGGUGCUCGCCGCGUCGGGGGUUAUGGCCGCAACUGCCUUAACCAAUGUUGCAUUCCAGUUUGCGUAGGUGCACAGCUUCCAUUGUAUUUCUUCAAGAAGCUGAACAUGAAUGAUGGUGACACGGGCUUGCUCGGACAUGAGAAAAGAGAGCCUCCCAUUAAGGAGUUAAAUUGAUAUACAGGAGAUGAAGAAAGAAUCACCAGCUUUGUUUGUUUCCUUUUGUAGUUAACAAUUAUUAUGGAAUAAAAUUGUUUACCACUCCAUGGUACAGUGGGAAGAUCGCAUGCAGAGAGGGCUAUUUCGCUAUGAUCUCACUGCUUGUGAAACCAAGGUGAUCCCAGGGCAAUUUGGUUUCAUAGCCCAGCUGAAUGAGGGCGCCAUCUUAAGAAGAGGCCAACGGAGUUUCGAGUUGAUAAGGUUCUCCAGCCCUUUGAUGGCAACAAGUUUAACUUCACUAAAGUUGAACAAGAGGAGGUUCUAUUCCAGUUUGAAGCCAGCGAAGAUGGUAGAGAUAGCAAUUAUUGAGGCGCAAGCAUUACGAGGAGCAUUUUACUCUUAAAAAACAUGUUCGGAGUUGUUCAAGAAAAUGUGAAGUCUUUUAUAUAGCAAUGUUAGUGCAUUACUUCGAUCGUUAUAAUAAUGGCAUGUAGAAGAAAACUUACUCCUCACUAGCAAGACGGGCGACUUGAUUCUCGCAAGCUACAACAGUUAUGAUUGACCACACAGGGAUAUUAGCCAUUGCAGUCUUCAUACUAGGUUUGUAGGUUUCGAAUUAGGGUCGGGUACUUCUUUAAGGAUUGCCACUGACUUGCCAAGUUGGUAAGAUUCUUUAUAUUCCAAAGCAAAAUCCGCUAGCACCAAUAAUGCCUUCAAUGCCCACGAAUACUUUGAUAGAUUUCCAAGUGUUUCUAACGUUCUUGAUUCGACGGCAAUUUCAUCACUUGAUCCCUCGUAUGAUAUCUAAAGAGUAUACCUCGUUAAUUAGCUUUCCCACUGUUCAUAAUACAUUGUUUAAUUCAUUUUCAUUUAGGAUAAUUGGGGAUUGGGGUGUGCCAUCCACACACCUCUUUUUACUUCUCACAUACUUCUUGUUAAUUUAUGUCCAUUGAUCAUCUUCAAUUCAUCUAAUCUAAAGGCUGAAAAUUAAAAAGGUAUGUGAGAAGUAAAAAGAAGUAUGUGGUUAUCACAUCCCUAGGGGAUUUACCACGAAGAUGUAAAGAGUAAAUCAUAAACAUAUUAUUUUCUUGAGAUAAGAAAAAUCAUCUUCCAGACAUAUGAAACAAAAUGUCGUUAGACAA